CAUUAAUCAUCAGAUAACAGUUAAGGAAAAUUUUAAUUCAUCACAAUUACGGGAGCUAUGUCUGAGUCUACAAAACAGUUAUAUUGUCGGAUUUUACAAGAAAAGUUAAAAAGCAUUACCCACCAGAAUUAUGAAGCUUUGCUACAACACAAAGUUGUUAGUCCUAGGCUUUGACCUUGACUUAAGGCCUUGGUCUUAAAACUGUUGGUCUUGGUCUUGGCCUUGGUCUUCAAAAAAAGUACAUAAAAUUGAAGAAUUAAAAGAUUUCAUU